UCAGUUGAUGUUCCGGUUCAUUCACACACAGGACCUUCUCGCUGUGAGGUGACAGUGCUACCCAUCGAGCCGCCGUGCCCCCCUGUCGUGCAUUUAAAAGAUGAUUUUCUCCUCACCAGUCACCGGAACCUUCCGUAUUGACCAAACCAGUCUGGCCAUUUUCCUCUGACCUCUCCUGAGUGGAUGUUUUUACACACUUAUACAUGAUCUGUACAGUCUGUUUCUAGGAGGUCAGAAGAUCCUGGAUGAUCUGCAGUUUCUGACACGUUCAGAAAAGCCGCCACGUCACGGUCAGAGUCGCUCAGGUCGCAUUUAUCUCCAUCCUGAGCCUCCUGACCUUGAAUGUUGUAGAAGUACAUGCACACAUGCACUGAGCUGAGCCGAUGGAACGCUUACUCUAUUAAAGUGGCUGGAAGCUCAGCAGCUAUUUUAGAGAAAUGACAAGAGGAGCGACGUGAGAGCCGAGGAGACGGAUGGAGAUAAGUGAGCGCUCGGCGGCUCGUACGGCGCAGACGAGAACCUGUUAACACCUUCACCUUCAGCUUAAACACGCCGAGUUUCAAACCACUCAAUAAACUUUACUUUUUUA